GAUUAGCGGCGGACGGGUGAGUACACGUGGGUAACCUGCCUUGUAGAGGGGGAUAGCCUUCCGAAAGGAAGAUUAAUACCGCAUAACAUCUUUUUAUCGCAUGGUAGAAAGAUCAAAGGAGCAAUCCGCUACAAGAUGGACCCGCGGCGCAUUAGCUAGUUGGUGAGGUAACGGCUCACCAAGGCGACGAUGCGUAGCGACCUGAGAGGGUGAUCGGCCACAUUGGAACUGAGACACGGUCCAGACUCCUACGGGAGGCAGCAGUGGGGAAUAUUGCGCAAUGGGGGAAACCUGACGCAGCAACGCCGCGUGAAUGAAGAAGGCCUUAGGGUUGUAAAGUUCUGUUUACGGGGACGAUAAUGACGGUACCCGUGGAGGAAGCCACGGCUACUACGUGCCAGCAGCCGCGGUAAUACGUAGGUGGCAAGCGUUGUCCGGAUUUACUGGGCGUAAAGGGAUGCGUAGGCGGAUGUUUAAGUGAGAUGUGAAAUACCCGGGCUCAACUGGGUGCUGCAUUUCAAACUGGACAUCUAGAGUGCCGGGAGAGGAAGCGGAUUCCUAGUGUAGCCGCUGAAUGCGUAGAGAUAGGAGAACACCAGUCGCGAAGGCGGCUUUCUGGACCGUACUGACGCUAGCAUGAAAGCCGUGGGGCCAAACCAGGGAUUAGGUUACCCUGGUAGUUCCCACCGCCCGUUAAACCGAAUGAAUACUUAGGGGGGAGGAGGGUAUCGACUCCUUCGUGCCGCCAGUUAACCACCAUAAGUAAUCCGCCUGGGAAGUACGAUCCGCCAGAUUAAAAACUCAAAGGAAUUGACGGGGGCCCGCACAAGCAGCGGAGCAUGUUGGUUUAAUCGCAGCAACGCGAAGAACCUUACCUAGACUUGACAUCUCCUGAAUUACCCUUAAUCGCGGAAAGCUUCGGGGCAGGAAGACAGGUGGUGCAUGGUUGUCGUCAGCUCGUGUCGUGAGAUGUUGGGUUAAGUCCCGCAACGAGCGCAACCCUUAUCAUUAGUUGCUACCAUUAAGUUGAGCACUCUAGUGAGACUGCCACGGUUAACGUGGAGGAAGGUGGGGAUGACGUCAAAUCAUCAUGCCCCUUAUGUCUAGGGCUACACACGUGCUACAAUGGUGAAUACAAAUAGAUGCAAUACCGCGAGNUGGAGCCAAACUAUAAAAUUCAUCCCAGUUCGGAUUGCAGUCUGAAACUCGACUGCAUGAAGCCGGAGUUGCUAGUAAUCGCGAAUCAGCAUGUCGCNGUGAAUACGUUCCCGGGCCUUGUACACACCGCCCGUCACACCAUGAGAGCUGUAACACC
rnacentral:rRNA from 1 species